GAGGUUCAAAUGAUGAUUAUUUGCAUAGUUCAGAUGAUAAUAAUCUUAUGUGAUUAUAAAUCUAUUUUUAGUCUUUCGCUCCUAUCUGAUGAACUCU